AAAAAGGUCAGUUGGCGAAAUAUGCCACUCUUGCCUGCACAGUGAGUGCUAUAUGACUAUCAAGACAUAUGGCCGACAUAAUCUGUGGAACUUUAUAUAGGGUUGUCUCCUUGGCCGACCCACAAAA